rnacentral:lncRNA from 1 species
GUAAUCUCAGCGUUGUGGUGAGGCCUCUGAGGACAGUGGUUCCCUCCAAUGGACAUCCCCAAAGGACCCAGGAGAAGGUGACCCCACCCGGCUUCCCCUCACAUAUGGAUUUCCACUCCAUUGCUGGCUGCAGAGAAAAAACCCAUCAUUGCCUACUGAAGCAAGCUGCUACCUGACAAGUUCUGGGAACAGAUUUUCCAGGGCAAGGUCAAGACUCAAGGGCUGUGUCUUGUGUAGGUGGGGAGGCCCAAAUUUAUGCUACUUUGAGACUAUAGCCUGACUUAAUAUCUUGCUUGCAGCUGGUCUCACCCAUAGUGCCUACGUAAAGCAACUGUGAAAUUGGCCAACUGGGAGGCUAAGUAGAAAAAAUAUAAAUGCAUAGAUUCAUAGAUAAAUUCCACACCUAGAACACUUCAUUCACAGUGCAAGUGUAGAAUAUCAAGUAUAAUGAAAAACCCUAAAAGCCAAUGGAGGAC